rnacentral:rRNA from 1 species
GCAGCCGCCGCGGUAAUACAGAGGGUGCGAGCGUUAAUCGGAUUUACUGGGCGUAAAGCGUGCGUAGGCGGCUUCUUAAGUCGGAUGUGAAAUCCCUGAGCUUAACUUAGGAAUUGCAUUCGAUACUGGGAAGCUAGAGUAUGGGAGAGGAUGGUAGAAUUCCAGGUGUAGCGGUGAAAUGCGUAGAGAUCUGGAGGAAUACCGAUGGCGAAGGCAGCCAUCUGGCCUAAUACUGACGCUGAGGUACGAAAGCAUGGGGAGCAAACAGGAUUAGAGACCCCAGUAGUCCCUGUCUCUUAUAC